UGUACUGCUGACUUCAGACACACCAGAAGAGGAUCACCACUGUCACCCCUAAGGAGGACAUGGAUCUUGGGACUCCUGCUGCCAGACUUGCCGUUUUUAACCAAGAGGGGUCUCAUUGUUCAGGAUGACCAUGGUAACUCAGUCAAAAGAGUGACCUCCAAAUAUCCUGUGUCACCUUGCCUUGUCUGAGGAAGCAUGCAGACGAGCGUGAUUGAGUCUGUGUCCCCCUUGUCACGCUCGGCCAGGCUUCAUUGCUGAGCAUGUGACAGCCUAGUAGCCUUCACUGCGGUCCCUUGAAAAGAUCUGAGCCACAGGGAUGCUUGCUUCUUGGCUUCUGGACACCCAUCUGGACCACCGCAAGCAAGAAGAUGCUUACUCUGCCAACGCUGCCUCUCAAUUGCCGAGCUCCAGCUGAAGGAGAAGUGGGGUAAGUAAGGAGGUGUCAAUACCAUAGCUUGUACAAAGCAGUCUGCCCGCGCGCGAAUCCGCCGGUGGUAAAGCACCCAGGAAACAACUGGCUACAUAAGCCGCGCACAAGAGUGCGCCCUCUACUGGAGGGGUGAAGACACCUCAUCGUUACAGGCCUGAUACUGUGGCACUCCGUGAAGUCAGACGCUAUAAGUCCACUGAACUUCUGAUUCGCAAACUCCCCUUUUAGUGUCUGGUGCGACAAAUUGCUCAGGACGUCAAAACAGAUCUGCGCUUCCAGAGUGCAGCUAUUGGUGCUUUGCAGGAGGCAAGUGAGGCCUAUCUGGUUGGCCAUUUUGAAGAUACCAAUGUGUGUGCUAUCCAUGCCAAACGUGUAACAAUUAUGCCAAAAGAUCUCCAGCUAGCAUGCCGCACACGCGGAGAACGUGCUUAAGAGUCCACUAUGAGGGGAAACAUUUCAUUCUCAAA